UGCAGAGAUGACGAAGCUUGAGGCGUGCAGAGAUGACGUAGGGGGAACCGUUUUGGACGUUUGUUUUGUUCGUUAAUCGGAAUAUUUUUCUAUUUUGGUCCCAUUGCUCAGAGAGGUUGUUCAAAAGGUCCUGAUACUGCAGGUCCGAAGGAAAACAGCUAAUUGAGAAAAUGCCGCCUCUUGAAACGAAUAUAGCGGUGGAAGCAGAAGAAAUAGCAAGGAUUAAGUAUCAUAUCGCACCAGAGCUUAAGGACCUAUGCUUAAUGAUAAAAAGUGCUGUUGUCGGAGCACUUGAAAAGUGUGAGGGAGCUAAGAGAACAGAAAUGUUCAAGUCUGAUGGGGCACAAAAUCGAAUUACUGAAGUGAACGCAAAACGAGAAAUUUUCACAGCAUGCAGAAAAAGAAAAAAAAACAGAAAAAGAAAUCAAGUAAAGAGAAGAAGGAGGACCUCGAUGGCCUGUGGUAAAAUCUACGCAUAAUAGGAAUACCUGAAACAGGACAAAGCAAAUGAAGCUGAAACUGUAAUUAAGGAACUAACUGAAGAAAAA